GUUAAGUCAGAUGUGAAAGCCCCGGGGCUCAACCUCGGAAUUGCAUUUGAAACUGGCAGACUAGAGUACUGUAGAGGGGGUAGAAUUUCAGGUGUAGCGGUGAAAUGCGUAGAGAUCUGAAGGAAUACCGGUGGCGAAGGCGGCCCCCCUGGACAGAUACUGACACUCACGAUGCGAAAGCGUGGGGAGCAAACAGGAUUAGAUACCCUGGUAG
rnacentral:rRNA from 1 species